rnacentral:rRNA from 1 species
AGAAGCUCCCAAGCGUUUGGCUGUUCGCCAAUUAAAAGGGCACGUGAGCUGGGUUCAGACCGUCGUGAGACAGGUCGGUCUCUAUCUGCUGCAGGCGUUUACACUUGAGGGGAGCUGGUCUUAGUACGAGAGGACUAGACUGGACUGACCUCUGGUCUACCGGCUUUGGUACCAACUGAAGCGCCGGGUAGCUAUGUCGGGAAGGGAUAAGCGCUGAAAGCAUCUAAGCGCGAAGCCUACCCCAAGAUUAGGUGUAGUCCGUAAGGACAAGAUUUCGUCGAAGACUACGACGUA